rnacentral:rRNA from 1 species
GGCUUACACAUGCAAGUCGUGCGAGAAAGUAUCUUCGGAUAUGAGUAGAGCGGCGGACGGGUGAGUAACGCGUAGGAAUCUACCUAGUAGAAGGGGAUAGCCCGGGGAAACCCGGAUUAAUACCGUAUACCUCCUUCGGGAGAAAGAAGGCCUCUCUUUGAAGCUUUCGCUAUUAGAUGAGCCUGCGUAAGAUUAGCUUGUUGGUGAGGUAAAGGCUCACCAAGGCGACGAUCUUUAGCUGGUCUGAGAGGACGAUCAGCCACAUUGGGACUGAGACACGGCCCAGACUCCUACGGGAGGCAGCAGUGGGGAAUAUUGGACAAUGGGCGCAAGCCUGAUCCAGCCAUACCGCGUGUGUGAAGAAGGCCUUCGGGUUGUAAAGCACUUUAAGCAGGGAGAAAAAGUUAUAAGU